UAGGAGCAUCCCAGGGUGAGAAGGGAGGGAAAGGAGCGGGGCUAAGAGCAUCACGGGAUGAGAAGGUUGGGGAAGAAGCUAGGCUAGGAGCAUCACAGGAUGAGAAGGGAGGGGAAGGAGCCAGGCCAAAGGCUCCCUAGAGAUGGAGAUAAUUAGGUUCAGCCCACCACGUCCCACUAGGUCCACCUCGGCUUUUUCUUGGAGGCUUCAGGCAGGAAAAAGGGACGGAGGCAGGACUUGAGUUUCCCAGGUUCCCAGGGCCGAUGGAUCAGGCCGCCGCCCAAGAUUGCCUGGUGAGAGGAGGGCGGGCAGGCCGGCUGCAGAGUUCGAAGCCGUUCCUGACUUCUAGUGUGCCCUCGCGACGGAAGGGAGCCCUGUCAGAGUCGCCCAACGCUCCCAGCUAGGGGUGCGCUGGAAGGGAAAGAGUCUGACCCACCCAUGUAAUCGUUGUGCUACUGGGUUGGACCUAGAAGGAGAAAAAAGAUACCUGGAGAAAACUUGGAUAGCAAAAAACAGCUAUUGAAAGAACAUCAAUGACCACCAAUUCCCUAUAACUACUUUCUAAUAUUUAAAAAAAAAAGUUUGAGAACAAUUUACAUGCAUAUGGAGAGUGUUUCCAAUGAAAAUGGGAAGAGAAAGACAGAUGUUCACAACAGACAAUUUCCUACAGUAGGAGUUUCUCAGGAUAGGAAACUGAAAAAUGUAUUACCAUAUGUGAUUAAAGACUCUCCUCCAACAA